ACGUAGGGUGCGAGCGUUAAUCGGAAUUACUGGGCGUAAAGUGUGCGCAGGCGGCAGAGCAAGUCGAGUGUGAAAGCCCCGGGCUUAACUUGGGAAUUGCGCUCGAAACUACUUUGCUGGAGUGUGGCAGAGGAAGGUGGAAUUCCACGUGUAGUGGUGAAAUUCGUAGAUAUCGAGAGGAACACCAGUGGCGAAGGCGGCGACCUGGACGGACACUGACGCUGAGACGCGAAAGCGUGGGGAGCAAACAGGA
rnacentral:rRNA from 1 species